GAGAUUUCCCAUUUCUUUAAGAAAGUAAGAUCCCUGAGAGAUGAUCAGGUAGAUAGGUCAGGAGUGGAAGUACAGUGAUGUAUGGAGCGGACUGAUACUAAUCGAUCGAGGACUUAACCAAU
rnacentral:rRNA from 1 species